AAGUAAGGAAUGAAGAGUCGUCAGUGC
rnacentral:sRNA from 1 species